ACGUCUCAGUUCGGAUUGUAGUCUGCAACUCGACUACAUGAAGCUGGAAUCGCUAGUAAUCGCGAAUCAGAAUGUCGCGGUGAAUACGUUCCCGGGUCUUGUACACACCGCCCGUCACACCAUGGGAGUCGGAUAUGCCCGAAGUCAGUGGCCCAACCGUAAGGGGGGAGCUGCCGAAGGCAGAUCCGAUGACUGGGGUGAAGUCGUAACAAGGUAGC
rnacentral:rRNA from 1 species